AACUGCCUGGGCACCGGAAAAGAUGACUGACUGAGCGCUUGGGGCAGGAAGCCAUUCCAUGAUAUGACUCAAAUCUGAAGAGGUCUGUCGGGGGAGGCCAUUGGCAGAGGAACGUCACGUGACGGAGGGGGUGCCAAUGUUCGGCUUCAAGGGUGUCAAGACCCUGUCAGUGUGUGAAAUAAAUACUGGGAUACAACGAAAUGCAAAAAGCGACCUACUACGACAGUUCGGCGAUCUACGGCGGCUACCCCUACCAAGGAGCAAACGGUUUCACUUAUAAUGCGAAUCAUCAGCAAUAUCCUCCGCCUUCGGCGCUGGUGGAAAGCGAAUACCAUCGGCCAGCCUGCUCCCUGCAGUCCCCUGGCAGCGCUGUGGCCCGCCACAAGGCCAAUGACAUCCACGAGAGUUGCCUGAGAACCAUCGGGGCCCAGGGUGGCCAGGCUCAGGGCCUUCCCGAAUCGCAGCAGCCCCCGCCACAGCCCCUGCAGCAGCCUCAGCAGCCCCAGCAGCAGCAGGCUCCACCACCCCCGUCCCAACAGCCCCAGAAGCCGACUCAGCCCCCUGUUCCUUCGACUCCAUCAUCCUCACAGCCCCCUCCCUCUGUCUCACCACCUCAAAAUGCCAGCAGCAACCCAGCCCCCACCAAGAGUCCCAUGCUCAAUUCACCUACCAUGUCCAAACAAAUCUUUCCCUGGAUGAAAGAGUCUCGUCAAAACACAAAGCAGAAAAACAGCAGCUCCAGUUCAGGUGAGAGUUGCUCUGGCGAUAAAAGCCCCCCGGGGCAGGCGUCAUCCAAGAGGGCUCGAACAGCUUACACAAGUGCCCAGCUGGUGGAGCUGGAGAAGGAAUUUCACUUCAAUCGGUAUCUGUGCAGGCCCAGGAGGGUCGAGAUGGCCAACUUGCUCAACCUUACGGAGAGACAGAUCAAAAUCUGGUUUCAGAACCGCAGGAUGAAAUAUAAAAAGGAUCAGAAGGGCAAGGGCAUGAUGACGUCCUCCGGGGGGCAGUCCCCCAGCCGCAGCCCGGUUCCUCCCGGAGCUGGGGGGUACCUAAACUCUAUGCAUUCUCUGGUCAACAGUGUUCCCUACGAGCCCCAGUCGCCUCCGUCCUUUAGCAAGCCUCAUCAGAACACCUAUGGCCUCCCCAACUCCUACCCAGCUGCCCUUAACAGCUGCCCACCUCCUCAAAAGCGGUACUCGGGGACUGCCUCGGUCACUCCAGAUUACGACCCUCACCCCCUCCAAGGCAACGGCAGUUAUGGGACCCCACACUUACAGGGAAGCCCCGUCUUCGUGGGGGGCAACUAUGUGGAGCCCAUGAGUAAUUCCGGGUCUUCCAUCUUUGGUCUGACUCAUCUCCCCCAUCCCGUCUCAGCCAACAUGGACUAUGGGGGGGCUGGGCCCAUAGCCAACAAUCAUCAUCAUGGACCUUGUGAGCCCCACCCCACCUACACAGACCUUACAGCUCACCAUCCUUCUCAGGGAAGAAUUCAGGAGGCGCCCAAACUGACCCAUCUGUGAUGGACCGCGGGUGGACACAAAGUCAACCCACUUCUCUCUUUUUAGUUCUGUUGGUUUUAUUUUUUGCUUUCUUUUUUUAAUGGUCAUUCUUUCCCAGUCUCUCUUUCUCUUUCUCUCUCCCCUCCCCCAUCCUCUCUUUUGUUUUCUUGGGUAAAGCCUUUUUAUAGUUUAUAUGACGUAGCAAUAUUCGUUGCUUGAAUGGCUCUAGAGUUUCCAUGGUGAUAUUUAUCUGCCCCCAGCUCGAGUCCUCUGGCUCUCCUUGGCUGGGGUGGGGGGGCGAGAGGAGGGGGCUUCCUUCCUUCACCUUCUUUACUCUUUUAUCAGAAACAGGGUAUAUGAACAAAUUUUCUAGCUGAGUUCUUCAAUGUGAAUUUGUUCGUACAUUAUAGCUCCCGAGGGGAAGCGAUUAAGUUGUGUUUUAUUAUUAUUAAUUAUUAUUUUUAGUUGUUUUUUAUUGCACUUCUUUAAAAAAGAGCGAGAAAGGAUAUCAAAGGGCGCUUUGAAACAGGGUCUCCCUGGACAAUACUGAAUCUGUGUCCGUCUCUCGAUGUGUGUAUGCUGGUGAACAGUCAGAUUUAUUUAUAUUUUUUUGCAAACAUUGAGUAAUCUAAGUGUUUAAAUAUUAUUUAUCCCCAUCCAUUCAUAUUUAUAUUAAAAAAUCUCCCCCGCUCCCCAGAUAUAUACCCUGAUUGUUCAGGAGCACUCCUCUGACCUUUGGUUCAGUAGCAGAUUGGCGUCCUACGACUUUGGUUCGAAAAGGAAAGAGAAAUCCUUUACCAAGAUGGUAACGAUUGUAACAAAACCAGAGAGAAGCCACCUUUUUGCUUUUUUUUUUUCCAACAGUAGUUUAUGCUUGUAACAUCGGGCUAAACGGAACAACUCUCCCCCCCCUUCCCCCAACAAUCUGUAAACGCGAAAAAAAAAUCUAAGAUUUGUUUCGAGAGGUCUACAUUCCUUGCUGCUCACGUUCUGGAAAAAGCAAAAACAAAAGCAAAAAAAACAAAACAAAACAAAACAAAAAAUAAAGUUUUUAUUCUGACUAAUUCGGUUUUCAGAACGUGUUCUUUGGCCGAUAUUGGGGGCAGCUCACGCCCUGGAGAAGGGAGCCUAGGCACACGUAGCCAAAGGCAUCUCCCCUACUCCCACCUCUUCCCCAACUCCCGCAUACCCCCGUCCCAGCCCCCUACAUAGCCAGCCUUGGCCUAGGCCUUGCCUCAGGGUGCUGUUAGAAGUGUGUGUGUGUGUGGGGGGCGCCCUCGGUGCAGGCUCCCGGUCUGACACACUGUAGCUGGGCUGGCUUGGGGCUGCUUCUCCGAGCUGCCAGGCCCCGAGCAGCAGCCAGAGUCACCCUGGAGCUCUCAAGCCGGGAACAAAGCGCCGCGAUCACAGGUGCUGGUGCUGGGCCUGAGAAGCUGCGGGAGUCGAGUGGGGUGGGGUGGGGUGGCAAUGGGGGCGGGGAUGUAGAUUCACCACUCCUUGCUCGAAGAGGAAGGAGGGAAGGCGAUCGCCAUCUUCUCUUGCGAGCCUUUCUCUUUCCCUUUCUCCCUCGGUCUAUCUCUCCCCCUCUUCUGCCUUAACGUCUCUCUCCUCCAACGCAGCGCAAAGGAGAGAGACGUUCCUCUCUUUGGCACUGGGGACCCCUCUACUCCCACACGUUCCCUCCCAGGGUCAGAAGAAAGAAGCUAAAGGCUGUUACAUUGUGCGGAGGUUGUCUUAAAUAAAGGCCAGCGGAGCUAGGCAUCCAAACCAGAGGCGGCGGGACGUCGUUUCCAAGGGGCAAAAUCGAAAUACAGUCGUUUAUGGCUUCCCAUGUCGUUAAUCACUCCUGGAAGAGACAGAUCAUCAUAAAUUGCCUCUGAGGUUUGAGGCAGUUUUUUCGGAACUAAAUAUUGGAUUGCUAUUCAUGGAGUUGCAGAAAGAGCUACCCUCUGAGAGAGAACCCAAAGCCCACACAUUAAAAAAGAAAUAUUUCCAUCCUGA